GCGCCUGUAGCUUAACCGGAUAGAGCGUCUGUCUUCGGAACAGAAGGUUGGGGGUUCGAUUCCCUCCAGGCGCG
rnacentral:tRNA from 1 species